UGGCUCAGAACGAACGCUGGCGGCAGGCCUAACACAUGCAAGUCGAACGUGAAGCCACCUUCGGGUGGUGGAAAGUGGCAGACGGGUGAGUAACGCGUGGGAACGUGCCUUUCGGUUCGGAAUAACCCAGGGAAACUUGGGCUAAUACCGGAUACGCCCUUCGGGGGAAAGAUUUAUCGCCGAAAGAUCGGCCCGCGUCGGAUUAGCUAGUUGGUAGGGUAAUGGCCUACCAAGGCGACGAUCCGUAGCUGGCCUGAGAGGGCGACCGGCCACACUUUCUCUGGGACACGGGCACGGACUCCUACGGGAUCAUGCAGUGGG
rnacentral:rRNA from 2 species